rnacentral:rRNA from 1 species
GAAUAAGUGCACUGGCUGGGUAAGGCCAGCAUAAAUGUCUAUUCUGCACAAGGUACAGACAAGUCUGGUGGGAUCCAUGCCUGGUUCAUUUUAAUAAAUGUGAGCUUGUCCACGUUGGCCGUGGACAGGCGGCUGCGCUUGUCUGUGAUAACCUCGUGCCGAUCGCACGUCCCCGUGACGGCGACAACGCAUUCGGAUGUCUGCCCUAUCAACUUUCGACGCUAUUUUCCGCUCCUACCAUGGUGACCAUGGGUAACGGGAAAUCAGCGUUCGAUUCCAGAGAGGGAGCCUGAGAAACGGCUACCACAUGUAAGGAAGGCAGCAGGCGCGCAAAUUACCCACGCCAGACGCGGGGAGGUA